UUGAAUUUUUUGGUGGUGGAUUGUUGCUGGCCUUUGGGUAUGUGCACAUCCUCCUCCGAUUUCUAUUCAUCCACCUGUGCACUUUUUGUAGGAGUUCUUUCAUCGGGUUUUUGAAGGUGCUCAUUAUGAGUUACUUGAAAAGACUAGUUGACAAGGCUUCUAUGUUCUUAUAAACCAUUGAAGUAUGUUAUAGAAUGAUCUUGUUAUUGGGACUUUAUUGACCCUUUAAACUUAAUA
rnacentral:misc_RNA from 2 species